rnacentral:lncRNA from 1 species
GGCUGGAUAGGCAGACAAGGAAUAGCAUUGGCUUUACUUUCUGUGGCAGAUGUUCUUAGAGCAAAAGACCUUCCUGUUGUUAUGACAUUCCUAAUUUCUAGGGCACUGGUAAUAAUUUCUUUUAUCUGACUAAACAGUUACGAUACAGGUUUAUUUAGCUUCUAUAUAGUGUUUACUGGAAAUGUAUUGAAAUUCUCACUGACAAUUUGGAAUGAUAAACAAUGCUUCAGGAAUGUCUUUCAACUUUAUUUUCUUUGUACAUCCGUGAUGUUGGUUCUGGUGAAGACACCAUCGAUUUUGGCUGGAUAGGCAGACAAGGAAUAGCAUUGGCUUUACUUUCUGUGGCAGAUGUUCUUAGAGCAAAAGACCUUCCUGUUGUUAUGACAUUCCUAAUUUCUAGGGCACUGGUAAUAAUUUCUUUUAUCUGACUAAACAGUGUUGUUAGUUAUGUCUAAGUUUUAAUAUAUCAUACUAGAUGAUAACACCUAAGAUCUGCAAAUUUGCUUUUCGUUAGAACCUAA